rnacentral:rRNA from 1 species
CAAUAGCGUAUAUUAAAGUUGUUGCGGUUAAAAAGCUCGUAGUUGAACUUCUGGUAAGACGCGUCCGGCCUUGGCGUGAACUCGCCUUGCAGCUGUGAUGUCGUUUGGCCAUCCUCCGCUAGCAAUAGCGGUCUUUCACUGUAAAAAAAUUAGGGUGUUUCAAGCAAAAGUUAUUUGGAAUAUAUUAGUAUGGGAUGAUAAGAUAGGCUCUGAGUGCUAUUUUGUUGGUUUGUACAUUUAGAGAAUGAUUAACAGGGACAGUUGGGGGUAUUCAUAUUUACAUGUCAGAGGUGAAAUUCUUGGAUUUUGGAAAGAUGAACUACUGCGAAGGCAUUUACCAAGGAUGUUUUCAUUAA